rnacentral:rRNA from 1 species
AUUGAACGCUGGCGGCAGGCCUAACACAUGCAAGUCGAACGGUAGCACAGAGAGCUUGCUCUCGGGUGACGAGUGGCGGACGGGUGAGUAACGUCUGGGAAACUGCCCGAUGGAGGGGGAUAACUACUGGAAACGGUAGCUAAUACCGCAUAACGUCGCAAGACCAAAGUGGGGGACCUUCGGGCCUCACACCAUCGGAUGUGCCCAGAUGGGAUUAGCUAGUAGGUGGGGUAAUGGCUCACCUAGGCGACGAUCCCUAGCUGGUCUGAGAGGAUGAACAGCCACACGGGAACUGAGACACGGUCCAGACUCCUACGGGAGGCAGCAGUGGGGAAUAUUGCACAAUGGGCGCAAGCCUGAUGCAGCCAUGCCGCGUGUAUGAAGAAGGCCUUCGGGUUGUAAAGUACUUUCAGCGGGGAGGAAGGCGGUGAAGUUAAUAGCUUCACCGAUUGACGUUACCCGCAGAAGAAGCACCGGCUAACUCCGUGCCAGCCGCCGCGGUAA